rnacentral:tRNA from 1 species
GCCCAGGUGGCGGAAUGGUAGACGCAUCGGACUUAAAAUCCGUUGAUCGCAAGGUCGUGUGGGUUCGAGUCCCACCCUGGGCA